rnacentral:rRNA from 1 species
CCACGCCGUAAACUGGGAGCCGCAGCUAACGCAUUAAACACUCCGCCUGGGGAGUACGCACGCAAGUGUGAAACUCAAAGGAAUUGACGGGGACCCGCACAAGCAGCGGAGCAUGUGGUUUAAUUCGACGCAACGCGAAGAACCUUACCAAGUCUUGACAUAUUUCGGAGAAUAUUAGAGAUAAUAUUUUAUGACUUCGGUCAACUGAAAUACAGGUGGUGCAUGGUUGU